rnacentral:lncRNA from 1 species
CGCUUAGAGUCAAGCGAAUAUGUUCCAACACAGAAACAACUAAAAGACAAUUACGUCAACUUGAAACUCGCUUGAAGCAAAGGGGCUACAAACACAGAAAUAUAAAAAAAAGCUUUCAGAAAGCGGAGUCAAUUCCGAGGAGUGAACUAUUGGAAUACAAAGUUAAAAAGAAAAAUAAAAGGACUCCAUGUGUUCUUACUUACCACCC